rnacentral:rRNA from 1 species
AUUGAACGCUGGCGGCGUGCCUAAUACAUGCAAGUCGAACGAAGUGGCGAACGGGUGAGUAACGCGUAAUCAACCUGCCCUUCAGAGGGGGACAACAGUUGGAAACGACUGCUAAUACCGCAUAAGGAAGGAGGGGAUUGCGUCUGAUUAGCUAGUUGGAGGGGUAACGGCCCACCAAGGCGAUGAUCAGUAGCCGGUCUGCGAGGAUGAACGGCCACAUGUGGACUGAGACACGGGCCCGACUCCUACGGGAGGCAGCAGUGGGGAGUCUGCCUCAAUGGACGAAAGUCUGACGGGGCAACGCCGCGUGAGUUAUGACGGCCUUCGGGUUGUAAAGCUCUGUUAAUCGGGACGCGGUACCGGAAUAGAAAGCCACGGCUAACUACGUGCCAGCAGCCGCGGUAAUAC